rnacentral:rRNA from 1 species
CAGCAGCCACGGGAAUACGAAGGGGGCUAGCGUUGCUCGGAAUUACUGGGCGUAAAGGGAGCGUAGGCGGAUCGUUAAGUUGGGGGUGAAAGCCCGGGGCUCAACCUCGGAAUUGCCUUCAAUACUGGCGAUCUUGAGUAUGGAAGAGGUAUGUGGAACUCCGAGUGUAGAGGUGAAAUUCGUAGAUAUUCGGAAGAACACCAGUGGCGAAGGCGACAUACUGGUCCAUUACUGACGCUGAGGCUCGAAAGCGUGGGGAGCAAACAGGAUUAGAUACCCCUGUAGUCCCUGUCUCUUAUAC